rnacentral:rRNA from 1 species
GUGCCUAAUACAUGCAAGUCGAGCGGACUGAUGGGAGCUUGCUCCCUGAAGUCAGCGGCGGACGGGUGAGUAACACGUGGGUAACCUGCCUGUAAGACUGGGAUAACUCCGGGAAACCGGGGCUAAUACCGGAUAGUUCUUUUCCUCGCAUGAGGAAAAGUGGAAAGGCGGCUUCGGCUGCCACUUACAGAUGGACCCGCGGCGCAUUAGCUAGUUGGUGAGGUAACGGCUCACCAAGGCAACGAUGCGUAGCCGACCUGAGAGGGUGAUCGGCCACACUGGGACUGAGACACGGCCCAGACUCCUACGGGAGGCAGCAGUAGGGAAUCUUCCGCAAUGGACGAAAGUCUGACGGAGCAACGCCGCGUGAGUGAUGAAGGUUUUCGGAUCGUAAAACUCUGUUGUUAGGGAAGAACAAGUGCCGUUCCAAUAGGGCGGCGCCUUGACGGUACCUAACCAGAAAGCCACGGCUAACUACGUGCCAGCAGCCGCGGUAAUACGUAGGUGGCAAGCGUUGUCCNGAAUUAUUGGGCGUAAAGCGCGCGCAGGCGGUCUCUUAAGUCUGAUGUGAAAGCCCACGGCUCAACCGUGGAGGGUCAUUGGAAACUGGGGGACUUGAGUACAGAAGAGGAAAGUGGAAUUCACGUGUAGCGGUGAAAUGCGUAAAUAUGUGGAGGAAC